CGCCAGCAUCCUAGCCGAAGCGCGGACCUCAGUCCCGGCUGGCCGUAUUACACCCUGGGCUAUAACACCUCCACCGAAGUGGAGGCCACAUUCCCAGAGCCUUUAUCCGGCCGCCGAAACUGAUGCUGGCCUGUCCAAACUGAGUAAACCGGUCAGAAGACCGGCCGAACAGUUUAAACAAGUCUGAUUGCAAGCGCUUCCCUUUCAACAAUUUCACGUGCUUUUUAACUCUCUUUCCAAAGUGCUUUUCAUCUUUCGAUCACUCUACUUGUGCGCUAUCGGUCUCUCGCCAAUAUUUAGCUUUAGAAGAAAUUUACCUCCCAUUUAGAGCUGCAUUCCCAAACAACUCGACUCGUCGAAGGAGAUUUACAUAGGGUGCCAUUUCCUGUCACAUACGGGAUUCUCACCCUCUAUGACGUCCUGUUCCAAGGAACUUAGACAGGCGGCUUCCCCAAAUCAUCCUCUACAAAUUACAAUGCGAACCCGAAGGCUAGCUUUCAAAUUUGAGCUGUUGCCGCUUCACUCGCCGUUACUAGGGCAAUCCCUGUU
rnacentral:rRNA from 1 species